CGGUUCCUUCCAGGCUCGCUCCCUGCGACGCAGCGGCCGCUUUGCUGCCAGCUCAGCCGAGGCCCCUCCAAUUUCCAAGUGGAAUAAUUGGGAGUCAGCUGGAGCCGGGGGCUCUUCGUGCUUCCCGAGCCUUUGUCCCUCUCGGAGAAGGACGUCAUCCUCCUGUAACUGGUUUAAACAUGUCCUCGGUGCCGGGUGGCGAGCCAAGAGCCGGCUGAUGGGUUUGGCAGGGCUGGGUUUGGGGGAAGAAAUGGGUUUUUGAGAGGUUGGGCUGAAAUGGAGCAACCUGUCCCGUUGGAACUAGGUGAUCUCUGAGAUCCCAUCCAACCCAACCGCUCCAGAGCUGAGCUGGGAGGAGGUCAGCAAAUGGGCAACUCUUGGUUGGGGCUGUGCUGGGAAACGAGCUGGGCCUGUCCUGCAGAACGGGAUAGGAAUAAGUGGAGGGUGGGCAGAGAGGAGCCCCCUCGGUGCCCCCCAUCCUCAGCUAAAGCCCAUCAGGAGAUGCGGGCUGGAUGCAGCUGUAGGGCCGUCACUGCUGCCAUCCCAUGCUGGCAGUUCGAGGUUUGGGGCUUCUAAAUUUGGCUCUUUUUGGGGUGAGCAGUGGGGAAGGAGGACGGGAGCGUUUCUCUCUCUCGCUCCAUUGUCGGAUCAAAGUAAUCCUGGCUUUAAAGGCUUCCCAUUCAGCAUGGGGCCAACGGGGAGCAGGAUCAUUAAAGCGUCCGAGCACCGCGUUUCCAUGCUUUGAAAUCACUUGGGAUCACUCCUCCUUGGCAGAAUCACCCCGAGCAGCUCCCGGGGCCCGGCCACGUGUCCCAGAAUGCAGCUGUAACCAGGCUGCUGUCUGCAAGCUCACCCCAAUGAGCCUUCUGGGGGCACACCGGCUCUCUUUGGUCCUGAAGAUGCUUUUAUUUUUUCUCUCUCUGCCCAGGAAAACAGCUUUGCCUGGCGACGAAAAGCCAAGCCAGCAGCACAAGCACCUGCACGGCGUACACGGACCCGCUUUUGCACCAGCUGGUGGGGAGGGACCAUUGUGUUCGACCACUUUGGCUUCCUGCAUGAGGUGGGCCGUGAAGUGCCGCGUGGCUCUAAGCCUUAUUAUUAUUAGCAUUUAUUACUGCGGAGGGAACGAGCACAGAAAGCGCGGCUCCGCGGGUGGGUGGCUUUUUAAAGCAAUCACCUACGGCCAUGCAACCUGUUAUGAAAACUCUCUGCGUAACCGAGAUGGAUCUGUUACGUGCACGGGAGAUGUGGGUACCAGAAGUCAGAGCCGGGCAAACCAGAGCUGCUCAUUUGCCCUUGGCACAGGGCUGAGUGCUGUCCCUGAUCCCCCUGAUGGUGAGCAGCGAGUCACGGUGCGAGUCAGCUCGUGUCCUUGGGAGUCCUCCAGGCAGCAGCGCUCAAUGGAGCGGGGAGAUGGGAGCCCUCGUGAAUCUUCAGCUCGGAGCAAUGAAGGCACCCAGUGUACCGGGACGGCAGCGCCAGAGCUGCCAUGAGCAAUGGGCAAGACAGGACCUGGUUUAGGUCAAGAAAAAAAAAAGGAAAAAAAAAAA
ensembl:lncRNA